GGAGUUUGGGCCGUGUCUCAGUCCCAAUGUGGCCGUCCAUCCUCUCAGACCGGCUACCGAUCGUCGCCUUGGUGGUCCGUUACAUCACCAACAAGCUAAUCGGACGCAGGCUCCUCGCAAAGCGAUAAAUCUUUGGUAACAACAUCAUGCGACAUCGUUACGUCAUUCGGUAUUAGCGUCCCUUUCGGAACGUUGUCCCCAUCUUUGCGGCAGAUUACCUGCGCUUUACUCACCCGUUCGCCACUAAACCCGAAGGUUCCGUUCGACUUGCAUGUGUUAAGCACGCCGCCAGCGUUCGUCCUCGAGCCACUGAUCAAACUACU
rnacentral:rRNA from 1 species